rnacentral:rRNA from 1 species
GUCUUUUUGAGUUAUUUUUAAAGUCUGACCUGCCCACUGAGUUUUAAAUGGCCGCAGUAUUUUAACUGUGCAAAGGUAGCAUAAUCAUUAGUCUUUUAAUUGAAGGCUGGUAUGAACGGUUGGACGAGGUAUAAGCUGUUUCAUAUAAAAUUAUAAUAGAAUUUUAUAUUUUAGUUAAAAAGCUAAAAUAUAAUUAAAAGACGAGAAGACCCUAUAAAUCUUUAUACUUUAGAUAAUUUAAAUUUUUUGGGUUUAUUUUAUUUUUAUUAUAUUGAGUAUUUUGUUGGGGUGAUAUUAAAAUUUAAUGAACUUUUAAUUGUGGUUUAAAUCAUUAAUUUAUGAAUUGUUGAUCCAUUAAUAGUGAUUAUAAGAUUAAGUUACUUUAGGGAUAACAGCGUAAUUUUUUUGGAGAGUUCAUAUCGAUAAAAAAGUUUGCGACCUCGAUGUUGGAUUAAGAUAUAAUUUUAGGUGUAGUCGCUUAAAUGUUAAGUCUGUUCGACUUUUAAAUUCUU